GGACGCUUCCGGAGAGCCGACGGUCACCCCCCACCCCGGGAGUGAUGACGUCAUCCAGGGGUACCUCUUCAAACGCUCGAGGAGGAAAACCAAAACCUGGAAGAGGUCCUGGUUUUCCAUCAGAGACAACCAGCUCGUGUACAGGAAGUCCCACAAGGAGGAGCCCGUAGUCCUGUUUGAGGACCUCCGCCUGUGUGCCGUCAAACCUCUGGAGCACCUGGACCGGCGCUUCUGCUUCGAGCUGCUGUCUGUCCAGAAGUGCUGUGCUCUGCAGGCAGACUCGGAGCAGUUGAAGCAGGCGUGGCUCCUCGCUCUGCAGGGCAGCAUCGACCUCGCCUACAGAGACUCCGCCCACUC